rnacentral:rRNA from 1 species
GACGAACGCUGGCGGCGUGCCUAAUACAUGCAAGUUGAGCGAUGAAGAUUGGUGCUUGCACCAAUUUGAAGAGCAGCGAACGGGUGAGUAACGCGUGGGGAAUCUGCCUUUGAGCGGGGGACAACAUUUGGAAACGAAUGCUAAUACCGCAUAACAACUUUAAACAUAAGUUUUAAGUUUGAAAGAUGCAAUUGCAUCACUCAAAGAUGAUCCCGCGUUGUAUUAGCUAGUUGGUGAGGUAAAGGCUCACCAAGGCGAUGAUACAUAGCCGACCUGAGAGGGUGAUAGGCCAAAAUGGGAAUGAGACAAGGCCCAAACCCCUACGGGAGGCAGCAGGAGGGAAUCUUCGGCAAUGGACGAAAGUCUGACCGAGCAACGCCGCGUGAGUGAAGAAGGGUUUCGGAUCGUAAAACUCUGUUGGUAGAGAAGAACGUUGGUGAGAGUGGAAAGCGCAUCAAGUGACGGUAACUACCCAGAAAGGGACGGCUAACUACGUG